rnacentral:lncRNA from 1 species
UUGUUUUAAAGAAAAUCCUUCCACGUUUAUUUCUAUGGCAAUGGUAAAGCGGUCGGAGCAUCAUCGGAAAAAAAAAGUGGAAGGAAGAGGGAUCGACGGGAAAGGAGAUAAGGGAACGACGGCGGCGAUGGUUGUGCGUCACUGUCCAUGACUUUGCCAUUAAUGGCGUCGCCGGCGACGGUUGGGAUUGGGCAAUGCAUUAUUUUUUAGAUUUUUUGGCGAAAUAGCCGCUGGAAUAAGGUCAGCAGUGGCAAAAGAGGUCCGAUCUAGUGAAAUUUGAAGUUUCUCGAUGAAUUUUCAAUGGUUUUCCGAUGAGUUUUUGGUGGAUCUCGCUGGAAACGGAGCGAGAUAUGGAGCGUCGGCACGGCUGGUUAGCCGGAGAAGGCGGUGACAUCAUGUAUGGUGUUCCGUUUACUAGUUUUUCAAUUUUUGGGCGAUUCCGGCUGACAAUUUCGUCGGAAAAAAUCUAUAUAUUUUAUUAUUAUAUGAUUCUCCGAUCCUAUGUUACUCUCAAUGUAUUACUACUUCUUCUUCUUUUUAUUUUUUUUGUUAUUUUCUCAUCUCUGAUCUUUCACUGUGUGCGCAGAUGUGUACA